rnacentral:piRNA from 1 species
UUGCAAAUAAAUAAAAUCCUC